AUUACAACGUGUGAACAAUGGUCAAGUGUCUCACUUCUCCAUCCGCAGCCCUCCCAAAUGAAAGGGAUUACAAGUGUAUCAUUAAUAUCGUAGCAACCUGGCAGCAAGUCGACAGAUUUAAUUUGGUGACAAGAUGAGUGGCACCAGAAUUCUCCCAUCUCCCCAGAAAAUGAAAAAUAGAUUCUGCCUGCUACUAGUAAAUAUUGCUGGUGGGACCCCAUUGAAACCUUCUGGACAACUUCCUCUCCCACUCCAUCCAGCCCAGUGGCCCCACAGCAGGAGAAGGGAGCCAAGAAGAGGGAUAAGGGGUUGCAAACUCUGGAGGAGUAGGGGGUCUCCAUGGAGGCACAACCUAGAAGCACUCCAUCCCACCAGGGAAGGGCAGCAGUUGUUCCCAGCAUCGGGACAGGGCAUCUCUGGUGUUGCAGAAGGGAAACAUCCCAUUAGGGAAAUAAACUGCAAUCAGAAUCAAGUGGGAGGGACAAAAAACAGCACAAUAAUGGGAGUAAAAAAAGGGAGUUUUUCUCAGAGAGCCUUAACUUCAUAAUCAAGUAAGAGGACGUCUUUGGCCAGUUGCCCAUCCUCUUCAGCAGUGGAGGCUGCUAUUAGAAAUAGGAAAAGUGAUAUGUAACAAAAUGGAGUGGGGAAAUAGACAACCAUUGAUUUUGAAUUAGAUGUUAUGAAGUAUGAAAAAUUGAUACAAGGAACUACACUCAUCAGUUAAAAAUGCAUAAGUUAGUGAAUGUAUGACAGUGAGGAGGCAAUUGAAAUGCUCAGUGAGCAAAAUAAAAUGGUGCAGAGGUUUUUCUUCUAGAGAUGA
rnacentral:lncRNA from 1 species